rnacentral:rRNA from 1 species
UGCCCAAUAGCUAGCCCCCACAACCAAAACCAAUAAACCAUUAUCUAUACCCCCAAACACACUGACACACAACAAACAAACCAUUUUACCCCCUUAGUAUAGGCGAUAGAAAAGGAGCCGUGGCGCAACAGAGAAAGUACCGCAAGGGAACGCUGAAAGAGAAGUGAAAUAACCCAGUAAAGCCAAAAGAAGCAGAGAUGCUAUCUCGUACCUUUUGCAUCAUGAUUUAGCCAGUAACAUCCAAGCAAAGAGCACUUUAGUUUGAACCCCCGAAACUAAGGGAGCUACUUCAAGGCAGCCUAUUAAUAGGGCAAACCCGUCUCUGUGGCAAAAGAGUGGGAAGAACUUUGAGUAGAGGUGACAGACCUACCGAACUUAGUUAUAGCUGGUUGCCUGAGAAUUGGAUAGAAGUUCAGCCUCUAAGCUUCUUUACUCAACUUACGUCCUAACCCCUUUUGACACCCAAAGAAACUUAGAGAGUUAGUCAAAGGAGGUACAGCCCCUUUGAUACAAGAAACAACUUUCCCAGGAGGGUAAAGAUCAUAAUAAAAACAAGGUACAAUGUUUUGGUGGGCCUAAAAGCAGCCAUCCCAACAGAAAGCGUUAAAGCUCGGACAUACCUCAUACCCCUUUAAUCCUGAUAAUUUAAUCUUAUCCCCCUAAACCUAACGGGCCAUCCCAUGCAGACAUGGGAGUGAUCAUGCUAAUAUGAGUAAUAAGAGAGCCCUCCCCCUCUCUCCUCGCACAAGUGUAAAUCGGAACGGACCCCCCACCGAACCUUAACGGCCCCAACCAAAGAGGGCACUGAACGACACACUAAACUACAAGAAAAUCGUCCAAUUAUUAACCGUUAACCCCACACUGGUGUGCCUUUAAGGAAAGACUAAAAGAAAGAGAAGGAACUCGGCAAACACCAAAAGCCUCGCCUGUUUACCAAAAACAUCGCCUCUUGCAAAACUAACGAAUAAGAGGUCCUGCCUGCCCUGUGACUAUAAGUUUAACGGCCGCGGUAUUUUGACCGUGCGAAGGUAGCGCAAUCACUUGUCUUUUAAAUGGAGACCUGUAUGAAUGGCACGACGAGGGCUUGACUGUCUCCUCUUUCAAGUCAAUGAAAUUGAUCUCCCCGUGCAGAAGCGGGGAUAGACACAUAAGACGAGAAGACCCUAUGGAGCUUUAGACACUAAAGCAGAUCACGUUAAACACCCCUAGACAAAGGGCCAAACCAAGUGAGCCCUGCCCUAAUGUCUUUGGUUGGGGCGACCGCGGGGAAAUACAAAACCCCCAUGUGGAUUGGGAGUACCCCUCCUACAGCUACGAGCCUCCGCUCUAGUCAACAGAAUUUCUGACCAACAAGAUCCGGCUACGCCGAUCAACGGACCGAGUUACCCUAGGGAUAACAGCGCAAUCCCCUUUUAGAGCCCAUAUCGACAAGGGGGUUUACGACCUCGAUGUUGGAUCAGGACAUCCUAAUGGUGCAGCCGCUAUUAAGGGUUCGUUUGUUCAACGAUUAAAGUCCUACGUGAUCUGAGUUCAGACCGGAGUAAUCCAGGUCAGUUUCUAUCUAUGAUAUGAUCUUUUCUAGUACGAAAGGACCGAAAAGAAGAGGCCUAUGCUUGAGGUAAGCCUCCCCCUCACCUGAUGAAAACAACUAAAGAAGGCGAAAGGGCAUGUCCCCGUGCCCAAGAAAAUGGCAU